rnacentral:lncRNA from 10 species
CAGAGACUCCAGUAACAAUCAUGAGUCAGAAAUUCAAGCCACCAGAUGCUUUCCAACUAACAGGGACCAAAUGGGACCGUUCUAAGAUAUCCUAAAAGAUUUGGGAGUUAGAGGAGGUAAACUAAGAUAAUUAUAUUACAAAGGGUACAAGACCACAAGACAACAACCGACUCCGGAAUUCUUGGACCUCCGCCUUCCGUACAAGGCCCAGCCGCCCCGUCCACUGCCACCACCAACGCCGCCGCCAUCUUACACUGGCCAGCGGCCGCCACCACCACCGCCUCCGCUCUCUGCGCUUGCGCCUGCGCUGCCACGCUUUCCGGCCCCGUUUGCGACGAUGUGCUCGAGAAGACUGAGGGAAGAGUGGUCGCGCGAGCUCACGGCUCGCAACCCUCCUCGAAGGACGCACAAGGGGCGGGGCUUAAGGCCAACGGAAAACAGAGCGAGAGGCGCCUGCGCAUUACCGAAGAGGCAAAGUUGUUUUUGUAGUUUCUUCGGGCUUGCUUAUCUUGUGAUACUCUAAACAAAUGCGAGUUAGGGGCUACCCAGAGUUGUGAUAGAAAUAAACUAAAUUUCCAGCGGAUUGGCAGGCCACUUCCUGGAUGAUGGCCAGUUUUGCCGUUUUUGAACACUGGAACGAGCAAUGAUUGCCACAAGGAUUUCUUCUGAAAAUCCCCGUUUCCUUUCAGGGCUUUGUUUCCUUAAGUGGUUUCUAUACUAUCGAGGCCCAUUUUCCCCUGAGAGUCCCCAUUUACGUAUUUUUAAAGAAGGGGCUCAGUAGCUUGAGGUGUAGCUAUUCCAGAAGCUCUUUUCUGAAGAGAGGUGGUGUGGGUAAAGGUUCCCAAGAGUGGGCCGGGUGAUGUGGGGUGACUUUUGUACUCUGUUUCGUUAUGACACCUACAGUAACCCUGCAGAGGAUUACUCCCAGCUGCCAGGCUGGGGUAUUUUUUUUUUUUUUCUUACCAGAAGCCCAGGGUGCAAAAAUCUGACCCUUUCUCACCUCCCCUACCGCUACUCUCCUAUUCCAAGUCAUUACAUAUUACUUAAGACUACCGCAAUAGAAACUUACCUCGUUUGUCUACUUCCAUUAUUGCCAUUACAGUUAAACAUAAGGCAGCCAGAGUGCUUUUUAAAAAUGUAAGGUCUGGCCGGGCGCGGUGGCUCAUGCCUGUAAUCCUAGCACUUUGGGAGGCGGAUGUGGGCGGAUCACUUGAGGUCAGGAGUUCGAAACUCGUUUGAAACCAGGCCAACAUGGUGAAACCCGUCUCUACGAAAAAUACAAAAAAAAAAAAAAAUUACCCGGCAUGGUGGAGCGCGCCUGCAAUCCCAGCUACUUGGGAGGCUGAGGCAGGAGAAUUGCUUGAACCCGGAGGCGGAGGUUGCAGUGAGCUGAGAUCGCACCACUGCACUCCAGGCUGGGCAAUGGAAUGAGACUCCGUCUCAAAAAAAAAGUAAUGUCGUAUUAUUUCCCCAGUCCCCACCCUGCUCAAAACCUCCAAUUCCCAUCACAUAAUAAAAGUCAAAAGUAUGAUAGCCUUAGAGGCCAUCAAAAAAUGAAUUGCCUCUAAGGAGGACCCUACAUGAUCUGAUCUAGCACCUGCCUAUUUAUCUGAUUCAUCUCCUCCCACACUGCCUAGCUCUGCUCUAGCCUCACUAGCCUUACUGUCACUCCAGUCAAAGCAUGUCCCAGCCCUAGGGUUUUUUUCCUUUUCUUGGAAUGUCCAUCUACUAGAUAUUUACUAGACUUGAGGUGUCUAUUGAAAUCCUACUUCCUAACACAGGCAGCUCUUGACUAUUGUAACUAAAAUGGAACCUCAUGUCAUCCUCCUCUAUCCCCUUACUCUGCACUGUUUUUUUAAUAACAUUUUUUACCUAUAACAUUUAAUCUAAAAUUAUGUUUGUGAUCCAGCUAUACUACUAGAAUAUAAAUUCUUGAGGGCAAGGACUGUGUUUUUAUCAUCUUUGUAAUCUCAACACCUAGAAGAGGGCUACAGCACAAAGUAGCUAUUUAAUGCCCC